AAGAAAGAUUGAUGCGGUGACACGCGGCAUGUUUGGUGCUAACCGGAAGAAGUUUAUGGAGGGGGGGGUAGAGAGCGACUAUGCGGAUGACUCCAGCCUCUACUACAGUCAACAGUCCAUGUUCCCAACACACCGCCCUGACAAAGAUAUGCUGGCGUCUUCCUCAGCGUCCUCACCGGGUCAACUGUCACAGCUCGGAGCCAGUUUAUACGGCCCGCAGAGUAAGAGAUGAACACCACACAAUACAAGAUCAGAUCACACAUGAAGGAACAGUAAAACUACCACACUGAUUCCAGGUUGUCAGAUGUGAGAUUUAGCUGCUUCGUUUGGUCUCACGUGAUAGAAAAUGUAAUAUUUGGGUCUUUUUGGAGUAA